rnacentral:rRNA from 1 species
CCUACGGGUGGCAGCAGUGAGGAAUAUUGGUCAAUGGACGAGAGUCUGAACCAGCCAAGUAGCGUGAAGGAUGACUGCCCUAUGGGUUGUAAACUUCUUUUAUAUGGGAAUAAAACGUUCCACGUGUGGGCUUUUGUAUGUACCAUAUGAAUAAGGAUCGGCUAACUCCGUGCCAGCAGCCGCGGUAAUACGGAGGAUCCGAGCGUUAUCCGGAUUUAUUGGGUUUAAAGGGAGCGUAGGUGGAUUGUUAAGUCAGUUGUGAAAGUUUGCGGCUCAACCGUAAAAUUGCAGUUGAAACUGACAGUCUUGAGUACAGUAGAGGUGGGCGGAAUUCGUGGUGUAGCGGUGAAAUGCUUAGAUAUCACGAAGAACUCCGAUUGCGAAGGCAGCUUACUAAACUGCCACUGACAUUGAUGCUCGAAAGUGUGGGUAUCAAACAGGAUUAGAUACCCUAGUAGUC